GUGGGGAAUAUUGGACAAUGGGCGCAAGCCUGAUCCAGCCAUGCCGCGUGAGUGAUGAAGGCCUUAGGGUUGUAAAGCUCUUUUGUCCGGGAAGAUAAUGACUGUACCGGAAGAAUAAGCCCCGGCUAACUUCGUGCCAGCAGCCGCGGUAAUACGAAGGGGGCUAGCGUUGUUCGGAAUCACUGGGCGUAAAGCGCACGUAGGCGGACCAUUAAGUCAGGGGUGAAAGCCUGGAGCUCAACUCCAGAACUGCCUUUGAUACUGAUGGUAUCGAGUAUGGAAGAGGUUGGUGGAACUGCGAGUGUAGAGGUGAAAUUCGUAGAUAUUCGCAAGAACACCGGUGGCGAAGGCGGCCAACUGGUCCAUUACUGACGCUGAGGUGCGAAAGCGUGGGGAGCAAACAGGAUUAGAUACCCUAGUAGUCC
rnacentral:rRNA from 1 species